rnacentral:lncRNA from 1 species
GCUGCUGCUGCUGGGGGCAGCUGAGGGGGCCCGGGUCUCGUCCAGCCUCAGCACCACCCACCACGUCCACCACUUCCACAGCAAGCACGGCACCGUGCCCAUCGCCAUCAACCGCAUGCCCUUCCUCACCCGCAGCGGGCACGCUGGGACCACAUACAUCUUUGGGAAGGGGGGAGCGCUCAUCACCUAUACAUGGCCUCCCAAUGACCGACCCAGCACAAGGAUGGACCGCCUGGCCGUAGGCUUCAGCACCCACCAGCGGAGCGCUGUGCUGGUACGCGUGGACAGUGCCUCCGGCCUCGGGGACUACCUGCAGCUGCACAUUGACCAGGGCACUGUUGGGGUGAUUUUUAAUGUGGGCACGGAUGACAUUACAAUUGAUGAGCCCAACGCCAUCGUGAGCGACGGCAAAUAUCACGUGGUGCGCUUCACUCGAAGUGGUGGCAAUGCCACCUUGCAGGUGGACAGCUGGCCAGUCAACGAGCGGUACCCGGCAGGACGCCAGCUGACCAUCUUCAACAGCCAGGCUGCCAUCAAGAUAGGGGGCCGGGAUCAGGGCCGCCCCUUCCAGGGCCAGGUGUCCGGCCUCUACUACAAUGGGCUCAAGGUACUGGCGCUGGCCGCCGAGAGCGACCCCAAUGUGCGGACCGAAGGCCACCUGCGCCUAGUAGGGGAAGGGCCGUCCGUGCUGCUCAGUGCAGAGACCACUGCCACCACUCUGCUGGCCGACAUGGCCACCACCAUCAUGGAGAC